rnacentral:rRNA from 1 species
UACGUAGGGCGCAAGCGUUGUCCGGAAUUAUUGGGCGUAAAGAGCUCGUAGGCGGUUUGUCGCGUCUGCCGUGAAAGUCCGGGGCUCAACUCCGGAUCUGCGGUGGGUACGGGCAGACUAGAGUGAUGUAGGGGAGACUGGAAUUCCUGGUGUAGCGGUGAAAUGCGCAGAUAUCAGGAGGAACACGAUGGCGGAAGGCAGGUCUCUGGGCAACAACUGACGCUGAGGAGCGAAAGCGUGGGGAGCGAACAGG